rnacentral:rRNA from 2 species
GGAUGCAAUCAUACCAGCACUAAAGCACCGGAUCCCAUCAGAACUCUGAAGUUAAGCGUGCUUGGGCGAGAGUAGUACUAGGAUGGGUGACCUCCUGGGAAGUCCUCGUGUUGCAUUCC